UACGUAGGGGGCAAGCGUUGUCCGGAAUCAUUGGGCGUAAAGAGUGUGUAGGCGGCUUGGUAAGUCCGCUCUGAAAGCCUGGGGCUCAACCCCAGGAGGCGGGUGGAUACUGUCAAGCUUGAGUCCGGAAGAGGCGAGUGGAAUUCCCGGUGUAGCGGUGAAAUGCGCAGAUAUCGGGAGGAACACCUAUGGCGAAGGCAGCUCGCUGGGACGUGACUGACGCUGAGACACGAAAGCGUGGGGAGCAAACAGG
rnacentral:rRNA from 1 species